ACUAUAAUCAUUCUAUAACGAUCGACAGAGAAAUAUGUAAUCGUUUCAUAGUGAGAAACAAUCGAGGAAACUAAGCCAGGGGUCACUCAAAAGGUCAGACCCAGUUCUCGUGAGUCAACCUUUUCUUUCAACUCACUCAUGGGUCAAACUUGAGGGCCAUCACAUCUCACAGCUCAUCAGAAACACUACACCAAACAUCUCGUUAGAUGUAAAAUUACGCAAAGACGACCUAGGCAAAAAAAAAAAUCAAAAUUACUUCGAUUUCUUGAUUCAUUCUGAUUAAGUAUAUAUUUUGGCUAAUCCAAGAGGGACAAACGGUAAUAUUGCCACUUUUUUUCUAUUUUUUCAAGCGAAGGUCUUUUAAUGGAGUAUGCGAGACAGAGACGUUAGCGUCGCCUAGCCGAGUUCUGCUAGGAGCAAACCGAACCUAAUAUGUGGGCGCCUUAAAAGAGUCCGAUCCCAUCAACACAUGCAGUGGCAUCAACAUCAAGCUCAGUACCCGGAACAUCUAUCACCUAAAAUCGCACGGAAAACGGUACCGGAGCGCCAAGUCUAGGACAAACAGGCUCCUUAACAGCUUCUACCCCCAAGCCAUAAGACUGCUGAACAAUUAAUCAAAUGGCCACCGGAAUAUGUACAUUAGAUACAUUUUUCCAUGACUCAAUGAUGAAGAAAUAAAUAUACUGGAGCUAGGCAUAAACAUAGUCUGUGUCUUGUCACAGCUGGUGUGUUUACAAAUGGGCUUCUACUUCUACUGUAGUUCUCUCUGUAUUGUGGAGGCAUAGUUGAUUGAAGGCUUGAAGACUACAUUUGAGAAAAGGCAGUAUCAGUAAGGGGGUGGUGGAUAUAGUACCUUGUUUGAGUGUCUAUUGAUGGCACCGCCCAUGGCGGCAGACUGACGAGGGUGGCAUUUUCUGAGCUAGACGCACCAACAACACAUAAAGCCUCACAUAAUUCUGCCCCAAAACAACAAAAACGGUCUCUCAACCAAUGGUAUAUGGGCUUUUUAGGUGAGCGCUGAUGCCUCCCUGUGAUAAGCAGUGCCCACUUUGUCAAAGGCGCAGUUAGGAGAGGUCGCAGCGGUGCUCCACCAACGUUCCGUCAAAAAAAUUAUCUAACAUAAAUCAUAUAGCAGAUAGGAUGUGGUAGAUAGAGUAUGUGGACUUUUUCUGUAGCCUACAGGCUGGAGAUAAAAUGUAAUGAGAUGGACACCUUUAACAUCAUGCAGGUUUCUCCGAUCAAAUAACCUAACCUAAAUGGCGCUCAAUCAAAAGAAAAUGUGCUGUAAUGUUAACAUAUCCUAAAAAGAGGACAGGUCAAAGUAAAAUGGACAAUCUGGAAUGGACAAUCACAACUGUUGUCCAGGUGUUUUACCCCAUUGUCAUGAUCAGUGGUCUCAAGUUUUAAUCUGUACAUUUGACAAGCUGAGCAUAGCAAAAAAGAAAAUACUUCUGCAUUUCCCACUGUGUAAACACAUUGCAAAUAGGCUCACGAUAACUCCUGAUAAAGUUGGGUAGCUGAUAUUAAGAGCUUAAUUAGGCCAAUUGAUUAUUCACAGGAAUCAGGACCAAUAAAGCCAAUACUACAGACAGUCGGCCUACCACAUGGAUGGGCAUUCAUAAAAUUACAUUGUGGGCAGACAUGGUAAACUACACCCCAGUAAGCACAAGCCAACGUCUUGGAAGGUAGGCUUACCACAUGGAUGGGCAUUCAUAAACUGUAGGCUCGUAAGCAUGGACCGAUGCCUUUUAGAUGUUUAUUUUUGUUCAGUUCGGACCGGCCUCGAUUUCCACAUCCACUGGUCCGGUCCGGACCAAACAUGAACCAAUCACAGACGUCUAUGUUUGGUUCAAAUUUUGUCUGGUCUGGACCAGCCUUGAUUUGGGCCAAAAAUGUAAUUUCAGAACAAAAAAAUGUGCCUGAUUUCAACAACCGGGAAAAAAAAGGUAUUUUUUUAACUUCUGGAAAAAUAUGUAUUUUAAACAUUCGAAAAAUACUUUUUCACCUUUCAUUCUGAACCUAAAUCGAACAUAACUUCAAUGUCAUUUUGUUACUGGGACUAUUCUAGUUUUGCAGGGGGCCUGCGUUUUUCGGUUUCGCCUUGGGCGGCAGAACAGCAAGGACCAGCCCUGAUUGAUGGGAACAAAGUAGUAAGAUGUUGGCUAAUCACUGACUACUGUGUGUCCUACAGACUAAUCCUUCUGCUGCUGCUAAUAACCUUGACACCAGUUUUAGUAGUACAGAGCCCGUAGACCCAUUUGAUGAAAGCUUUCAACCUAGAAUAAGCUCAACCUCAUCUGAUUUUGAAACAAGCCAGGACAGCCAAAGCCUCAUGAUCAGUCUUCAGGUCAAAGCAGUGGGUGGUGAAGAACAUCGCCAACGCCUGCUAACCAUCUGCCAUUACCCAAAACACAAGAGGUUCAACCAGUUGAAGAACAUUCUGGAACCUGCCUGGAACAUUCAACCAAAACAACAUCCAUAUUCAGUUAGACUGAUGUAGUAUAAUAUAGAAUGCCUUGUAUGCUCACAACUGCAUUGCGGUAUAGAGAUUGCUAGCUGUUGUACAUAAUAUUUUGUGUGUACUGACAAGUGACUAAAUGAUUCCAGCUGCAUCUGAAACCAAUAAAGUGUUGACUUCAA